rnacentral:tRNA from 1 species
GGGGACGUAGCUCAGUUGGUUAGAGCGCUGCCCUGUCACGGCAGAAGUCGCCGGUUCGAGUCCGGUCGUCCCCGCCA